AGCGAACGCUGGCGGCAGGCCUAAAACAUGCAAGUCGAACGCCGUAGCAAUACGGAGUGGCAGACGGGUGAGUAACACGUGGGAACAUACCCUUUGGUUCGGAACAACACAGGGAAACUUGUGCUAAUACCGGAUAAGCCCUUACGGGGAAAGAUUUAUCGCCAAAGGAUUGGCCCGCGUCUGAUUAGCUAGUUGGUGGGGUAACGGCCCACCAAGGCUACGAUCAGUAGCUGGUCUGAGAGGANGAUCAGCCACACUGGGACUGAGACACGGCCCAGACUCCUACGGGAGGCAGCAGUUAGGAAUCUUGGACAAUGGGCGCAAGCCUGAUCCAGCCAUGCCGCGUGAGUGAUGAAGGCCUUAGGGUUGUAAAGCUCUUUCAGCGGGAAGAUAAUGACGGUACCCGCAGAAGAAGCCCCGGCUAACUUCGUGCCAGCAGCCGCCGUAAG
rnacentral:rRNA from 1 species